UAGAUAAAAAAAAAUAAUAAUUAAGGACCAAACACACAAAAGUGUGUCUGGUCGUAUAUGGGACGCAGGGGGCGACCAGGAGACCUCACCAAGCCCUAGUUCAUCACUUAAUUCACAAAAUUGAAGGUCCAAAUCUGAUCAAAAUCGAAAAUCAAGAAUAGAUUAUUGAUCCCCAUUGAAAGGGGAGUCAUAAGUUUGACUCUAACAAGCUAGGUAGGAGCUUGGAAAUGAACGGGUCAAAUGGAUACAAGUUCAAGUAUGAAGCUCGCAAGGAUGCAAGGUAAGUAUAACUUACACUAGUCAUAUAUUUUAAAAUGUUCUUUUGUCAUAUUGACUACGAAUAAGACAAAUGGUAAUUUAGUCACACGUUGACAAUAAUCGUUAGUUUUAAAAGACGCUUUCCCGCGAAAGACAUAAAGAGCCGAAAGUGGUAAUAAACGGGUUAUAAAUAAAAUGAGCAUACGGUGUUAAAAGGAGCGAGUCAUGUAGAUGAGAUAAUAAUAAAUAUUAUCUCGCAAAGAUAAACGGUCAAUUCGGCCAAACGGGUCAAAAGGUGUAGACAUCACCUUUUGACAAUAUCGACUAAUGAUUCUGGUGUCGAGUUAUAUGUUUACAGGAGUAGAUAUCCAAUGGAUACUCGCAUCGCUCUUAAUUAGCAAUUAUAAAGCAAGGUAUUAAACCGGGUUAGUAAGUUGAUCCGAGCCAGGUAUGUAUAAUAGAUUAACUCAUCAUGUAGAACUUGAAGUUCUAUGAAAGUUAGGCAAAAUAAAAAAAAA